rnacentral:piRNA from 1 species
UUGGUGAUGCUGUGGACACACAAAAGGG